GGCAUACUGAGAUUUACAGAAACAGCUCCUCGAGUUCACCAUAUGGUGGAAACUAUGGCCGGUGCAGGAGACUUGGAAGACCUUGCAGGGGACCACGAGAUUGGAUUACUUGCGGUCCAACCUGCAUUUGUGAACAAAUACUCCAACCGUACUAUGGUUACUACGAAAACUCAUAUCGCUGGUCUCGCUGGAGUUGCGGGAACCCGCCUGCUUGGGAAUCGGCUUACAGAAUGUAAGCGAAACAUUGGGGCCG
rnacentral:lncRNA from 1 species